UACGUAGGGUGCAGGCGUUAAUCGGAAUUACUGGGCGUAAAGUGUGCGCAGGCGGCUUCGCAAGUCGAGUGUGAAAUCCCCGAGCUUAACUUGGGAAUUGCGCUCGAAACUACGGAGCUGGAGUGUGGCAGAGGAAGGUGGAAUUCCACGUGUAGCGGUGAAAUGCGUAGAGAUGUGGAGGAACACCGAUGGCGAAGGCAGCCUUCUGGGCCAACACUGACGCUCAUGCACGAAAGCGUGGGGAGCAAACAGG
rnacentral:rRNA from 1 species